UACAGAGGUCUCAAGCGUUGUUCGGAUUCAUUGGGCGUAAAGGGUGUGUAGGUGGCGCCGUAAAGUCGGGUGUGGAAAUUCCGGAGCUUAACUCCGAAACUGCAUUCGAUACUGCGGUGCUUGAGGACUGGAGAGGAGACUGGAAUUUACGGUGUAGCAGUGAAAUGCGUAGAUAUCGGGAGGAACACCGGUGGCGAAGGCGGCCCCCUGGGUCGGCCCUGACGCUGAGGCGCGGAAAGCGUGGGGAGCGAACGGG
rnacentral:rRNA from 1 species